ACCCACAUAACUAGCACAUAGCUCGCAAGCGCCUGUUGCAUUAUGGGUACUUCCUACACAUUCACAAAGACAAACCCACAUAACUAGCACAUAGCUUGCAAACGCCUGUAGCAUUAUCCCUGAGAGACCUGAUACUCUCUUCUGGCAUCUCUAUGCACAGACAUGUGGGCAAGUGUACAUUCAGUCACACACACAAACACACACACACAUGCACUGUAGAGACAUAUAUCUACCACAUGUGCAUACCUACCCACACACAGCGACAUGUAUGUACCACACUCCCACACAAGUACUUGCAUAUACACACAGACACACAUAUGCACCUCACAUAAAAGAUUAAGUAGAGAAAUCAUCAUAAAAUAUCAAGUACUAUAUGAACUAAAAUGAAUGGUGUUUUAAUAUCAGGGACUAUUCUACAUGUCUUCCAUAUAUUCCCAGAGUUGAUGCUCAUAAUAAUAAGUUAGUGAUAGUGUUGUGAAUAUUCUGUUUCUAUAGGUCAGUAAAACUGAGUCAAAUAAAAGAAUAUGAUAUUUUAAAUCUACUGAAAAAUCAUUGAAAAUGCACAUAAAAACUUUAAGAACCCUGUAUUCCACAGUUACUUGAGCCAUUUGAGAAUAGUUCAUAUAUGCUAGAUUACACAGUGUAAGCAAACUGCAUGAAUCUGUUAUGCAUUAGAAUAAAAGGUAAAUUGUGCAUGCUAUUCCUGUGAGCUUCUAGCAGGCAGUAUCAUCAUUUGAUCUCUGCAUGGAGCAUACUCUAAGUGUUUGAGGUUAACGAUCAGAAGACACAGGACAGAUUAAAUAAAUGUGGCUGGCCCUCAGCAUGCCCAAACACUGCUCUGAUUGUGUCUAGGAUCUGACUUAGAAAGAACAUCCGUAUGCUGGGAGUGUAGUUUAUUUUUGCUAUUUCAUUUUGCUUAUUCACAGUGUCCUCAAGGUUCAGUGUCCGUAUUUACUUAAAUCCAGGCUUGAUCUUGAAUUUAAUUACUUUUUUCAGCAAUAGGAAUUGAACCGCAGUUACUGCUCUCCUGUCCCCAGUGGUAAACACUGCUGUCCAUAUAUUGAUCUACACUCUGAUCUUGGCAACUGCUAAAAGGUGAUGCUUAGAGGCUUUUCUGCUGCUCUGCACUAGAGGCGGCAGGGCUCUCCCCUCCCUGUUAAUAAUGCAUGGGCAGUUUUUCUCCCCUUCUUUAAAGUGAGGAAGCCUUCUCUUGUGUCACUGGUGAAAUGAGUGCCACUCAUUUGGAUGUUUAGCCAACGUUAAUUAAUUGUCACUGUUCUUGAGGAUCACAGGUCUGAGGCAGGGCUCACCCAGCUGAAGUUCACUUAUCAGCAAUACACAUCUUUCAUGGUUCCUAAGGAAGAUUCCUUUGUCUGCUCAUUGCUUUCCUCUGUGGAUGCCAGUUUCUUGAGGAUAUGGGACUAACGAACUUUCCUCCUAGAUUAUAAUGUUGGAUCUGUUCACUAUUUUUCAAAGCCGUGACAUUCCUCAGGUUUCUCUUUCUUUAAAUCAUGAGCCAUCAACUAUGGAUUAAAUGACUGUCCUCAUGGUCUUCUUAAUUCAAACACCAUGAAUUCAUGUUUCUUCCACCAUACUUUCUUUCCAGGAAUUCUGACCACACCCAGGCUUUAAGAAUGUAUUGGUCUAAUUCCGUUAAACUAGGAAAAUCUCCCCCCUCCCUAGGUCUUUUAAUAUCCUGUGGAAAGUCUUGCAAUAUAUAACAUAUUUAUAACUUGUUGAGAUCCUGGCUAAUUUGGUAGGGAUGAUAGUAGCUUGUAAGUGUUAGUUGGUUUCUCAGGAGUACAAUACUUAUGUUUCAUAGAAUCUCAAGAGAGGAUCAUGCAUAUAUAAUUUUACACAGUCCUUCAGUUUGAAGUACUUGAAAGUUAAUUUGUCGUUCCUUUGUUGUUUUGUUGAUGAAAGAGUUUCUGGUAAUGCGGCUCUUCCUUGAAAAGCCCUGAUCCUCCAUAGAUCCUGAGUUUGGUUCCUAGCACCUAACAGAGAGGGUUCCAGCAAAGGCUUGACAUCCUCUUCUGACCUCUGUAGGGACCGACAGUACAUUCAUCAUUAAUACACAUCAGGACACUUAGACAUACACAUUCAUAAAGAAAAAAAAUGGAAAGUUUUAAAUAUCAUCAAAAAAGGGAGGCAUUCAGUUUUAUUUUAUCCAGAAUUGUAAACAAUAUAGACAACUUUACAAGGCAAGUACUUGUGGAGGGGAGAUGGCCAGACUCUGAGACUAAUAGUAGCUGUGGUCUCUAAUAGCUGUACCUGAAUGAUAUCCCAGGACUUCUAAAAGCCCCCCCCCCCCAUGUGACAACUUCAAAUGCUUUGCAUAGCACAUUAGCUGUAGAUUGCAAAUUAACUUCAAGAUGUGAUCAGAGGACCAUCACCAGCGUGACUUCUGAAGGUUCAGUUAAGCAACAUGCACCCAAUAGACCAGAUGCUACACUGUAUGCUGAGUAAUAACUUGGAGAAGUCUUGGGCGAGAUAACGGCUGUAAGACAGAUGCAAUGUGAACUGACUUUUGAGGGCUGUGAUUCCUCCUUUUAUCCAAAGUCUUAUAUGUUUCACAAUGUUAAUACACCAAGGCUAUACUUUGGUACUUAGAAUGUGUGGUGUGUGCAGGUUGGUCUAAAUAUAUUAGGCAGUUUGAAAUGAAGGUCUCUGAAGUAAGAAUUAGGAAGCAUAGGCUUGAGUUCUGAGUCCGCUGCCACAGAGAUUAUAACUGGAAUCUCUAUGUCUCUGGACUUCUACCAUGUGAAUCUUAAGUGACAUAGUCACUGAAUCUACACCUAAUGUGUUCUGCUCAGAGUACAGAAUUUUCCAUCAAGAUCUUAACACCUACUCAGGAGUAUUGUUCCCAAAUAAAACACAACAUGAGACUAAAAAUGACAUCACAGAGCCAAUUUUGUGUUUAGUGUUUUAUUUAUUUUAAAGUACAAAUGGAGUUUGUAAAGGAAAUGAUAAUUGAGAAAAGUGAAAAAUUGAGUUGUAAGCUGUGACUAAGAUUUGAAAUAUGGCUAGAACUUAGAUGUUUAAGAGGGAAGCAAUUAUUGUGGCGUAUCUAUAAAAACUGAAAUUAGUCUACACUAAUAUGCUGAGAAAAAAAUUACCACCAUGUUCCUUAGCACAGCAACCCCAUUGAUAAAAGCUAAGAUGCAAAGAAUUAGAUAGCUUGAGAGAUGAGGUAUAAGUGAUAUUUCAGGGAUUUACAAAAUUAAGAAGCUUAGGUUAAACCACAUAGGUUAAUUACAGAAACCUAGUUUGAUUUUAGUUUCUUAGCAGGAAAUAGUUCUAUAUACAUAUCACUUCUAUCACACACACAAAAAAGAGAUUUAACAGUUCCAGACCUAGAUAUAGUACUGCAGGUAUGUAGUUGGAAGGAGAGAUUAUCAAUGGUAAGUAAUGGCAAAAAAAUAGAAUAGGUCAUAGGUUAUACGGGGAGAAAGAGGGGAGAGAGAGAGAGAGAGAGAGAGAGAGAGAGAGAGAGAGAGAGAGAGAGAGAGAGAGAGAGAGAGAGAGAGAAUGGGGUAAUUGGGAAAUCUGAAAAGAACAAUCCAGAAUUUGAAUAGUACGGCUUUGAGCAUAUCAAGUCUAGUAUAACAAUCAUGAAUAAAGCACAAAUACUAUGUUUUUACUAAGAAAUAAUGUGAUACUCUCGUGUCUCAUAACAUGCAGUAUUCUAUAUUCUGGGAGCUUUCCUGGUAAGGGUCAGAGGGUGCUCAUGAAUUGCAGAUAAUGGCGACUGCUAAGGAAAUCAUAAGUAGAAAAUAAGAAUAAAGACUAAAGUUAUAUUAGAAGAAUGGUUGAGCAAGUCUUCUUGGAGGAGUUAAUGACUGAAUAGAGAAUUAAAAUAAAAAGCAAUGGGAUGAAGCCUGAAGAAUACUCUAGACUGAAGCUUAAACUGCUACUAGACAAGGUUCUCGGUACAGGAAGAGCAAGGUCAAUUUAGCUCAAGUAUAGAUUAUAAUAAGGUGAAGAUGAAGUCAGAGAGAAAGACUUGGAUCUGUAGACAUUUGCUUUGUGAGUUAAUGCAUGAUUCAUUCUGGAGAGGUGCAUGAUGGAAUGUGUAAAGAGCCAAAGUUUAUUUUUUUAUUUUAAUUUUAAUUUAUUUUGUUUUUGUUUUUGUCAUUGUUGUUGUUGUUUGUUUUCAGAGACAGAGUUUCUCUGUGUAGCCCUGGCUGUCCUGGAAUUCACUCUGUAGACCAGGCUAGCCUGGAACUCAGAAAUCCACCUGCCUCUGACUCCCAAGUGCUGGGAUUUAAGGUGUGUGCCACCGUUGCCCGGCUCCAAAGUUUACUUUAUUAAAAUCUUCUGAAUGUUCAGAUGAUUAAUCUAAACCUCCAAAAUCUAAAAGAAACACACACAUUUACACAUAGAUAUCUGAUUUUGAAUAUCUGGUAAUUAGUCCAUUAGUUUACUUCUGUGCUCAAAGGUCAAGGUAGCCAGGGCUGCCUCCUAGUCUGAAGGAGCUACUGAGAACCGUAAUUGUCAAGACUGAGGAAGAAUAGAGUUCUUGGCUCUAACCCAUGUUUAUCAUUUCCAUUUGUUUGUUUCUUUCUCUCUCCACUUCUUAUAAUGUCAAAAGCAACCUUGAAGAGGAACAAACUCACAGACGUAGCCUAUGGGAAAUGAGAUUUGGUGGUUGGGGAAAUCAUUUUUCCUUCCUUUGCCAGGUGGUGCAUAUGGCCAAAUUAGAUCUGGAAAACAAUCAUGCCGUUUGAAAAUCAUUUGUUUAUAUAUUUCUGAUUCAUUCGAGAUUCUUGGCAUUAUUUCUCAAAGUAUUGUUUUCUUUCUCCUUCAUGAUUUAUGUUUUCCUGUUAAUAUAGGCUUUUUGGAAAUAGAUCUUAAAACAAAUCCCUGUAUAUACCAACAAACACUUAUUGCAUCAAAUAAGACAUAUAUUCUAAGUAGUAUAGAAAUACAUUGUUUGACUAGAUAUUAGUCAUUUGUUGAAUUUUUACUUGUUUCUAUAACUAUUUUAAAUCAAAAUAUUUACUUAAGUCAUCAGCAUAUUAUAUCACAACUUUUUUCUCUUUCGCAGUAUAAAAUUCCUGGCAGAGAUAGGUUUCAUCAAUUACCAAAAUGAACAUUUAUCAAGGAAGCAAGUAAAGUAUUAUAAUUCUAAAUUGCCAGAGAUUAUACGUGUUGUAGGAGAAAUUUCUAGGAUGAUAGAUAAUUUGUACAUUACACAUUUUUCCAAUCUAAUCUAUAGCAAUAGUUGGAAACAUGGAUGUAAAUGGUAACUUUGUGGUGUUUCUAGUAAGUGAGUAUACAUCUGCUUCUCAUUCCUUUGAAUAUCACUUGUUUUCUUUCUUUUUCCCUUAACAAAAUAGCAGCUGAGAAAAUGACAUGAAGAAUAGGGCAGGGCAAAGGACUGCUUUUAUAAAACUAACUCUUCAGGGUGAUCCAAUGGAACAUGAGAUUUUCCUGAUGACUCUGUAGACACUUCCGAGUAGAAAUAUGUUCAAGGUGAUAAGGUAAACAGCAAAUCCAAAUACUGAUCUUUCGAUUUUUACCCUAAUAUUGGCUUCCUAAAUCUCCUAUUUGGUGAUGAGAAUCAUUUAUACACAUUUUUGUAUGCAACCUGUAAUCCAGAAGUGACUUGUGGGAAAAGUAUAUUUAUUGUUGUUCAGUUGAGUUUGUAAGGAGGGGGGAUGGGAUAGGGGGUUUUUGGAGGGGAAACCAGGAAAGGGGAUAACACUUGAAAUGUAAAUAAAGAAAAUAUCUAAUAAAAAUUGUAAAUUAUUUCUAGCAAUUCUGCUAUGCAAUUUGUUGUCAUGUUUUUAGUUAGCCUAAUUUCCUUAGCAUAUAUGGUUUUUCAUCUAUGCAGUAUGCUCCAAAUCCUCCACAUGUUGUGCCUUAAAUAACACUAUUUGAAUCUGGCACAGAAUCCAAUACAAUGGAAUCAGCUUUUACUCUAGUUUAACAUUUUAGGUUGAGGUCCUAGGUCUCACACACCUUGUUUUGCCACACUACAUUGCUGAUGAUUGUGAGGAGUUUAUAUAAAUUCUUCUCUUAUUUUCUUCUACACCUUACCAUUUGUUUACAUGGUCACCCCAUUCUUGAGAUCCCUAUUGUAGUUUAUACCUUCUCAUGGGGAACAGGUUGGAGGCUGUCAAGCUUCAGGCAACUGAAUUUGGCUAAGAUGCAAAAUGAUAAAUUCACUUAAACCAUUGUGAGAUUAUUUUAGGUUGCUUGUCUGGUUUCUAUUGUAUGACACAGUCACUCAGUUCUGCAUGUGCACUUUGUAUGUGGGAAGACCAUGUUUUGUUGCUUCAGCAUCAAAGACUGGACAUGCCUAGAGGGAGGCUUUCCUUUUCUUUCUUUUUUUUUUUAAUUAGGAAUUUUCCUCGUUUACAUUUUCAAUGCUAUCCCAAAGGUCCCCCAUACCCAC
rnacentral:lncRNA from 1 species